AGCUUUCUUAUCCUUCGGGCAAUGUAUUCAACUCUUGUUCCCUUCACAUCCAAGGUCUCAAGCAUCUGUAGUUUGUCGAUGUGCUUGGGGAGGUUUUCCAUAUGAGUUCGCCUCAAGCUCAAGUACCUCAAAUUAAAUAGAUCAGCCACUACAUCUGGGACAUGGGUAAUAGCAAGAUUCCUCAAUUCUAAUACCUUCAAGAGCAUGAAAUUGGGGGACAUUUUCACAAAAGAAGCAGCAGAGUCCAUGCCACCUAAAAACAAGAACAGAGAUCGAAGGCGAUUGAUAGGCGACGUGUGGAGCUUAUCUCUGGUUGCAGCGAAGGAUAUUUCUCUCAUCAAGACAUGUACUCGACAAGCUUUUGUUCUUCCCAUUUCGUUUGCAAUUGCUACUUGAAUAAGCUGUCGGGGAAGAUGGCACAGCAACACAAGUAGCACAGCUUGAGAUUGGAUGGUAGAUCAUAAAAGUCGAGCAUCAAAACACGUGACAUGUGGACGAGCAUCUCGUUGUCCUUGAACUCCAUGCUAUUGUAGAAUUGCUUCCAAGUUAUAGUUUUCCUAUCUUUGGUCGACAUAACGCCUGCAAGCGUCACCAUAGCUAAGGGCAACCCUCCACACUUGGCCACAAUCUUCCGAGCCCAAUCCUCCAAAUCCUUCGGGCAAGGGUUUGAUCGGAAAGCCUAAAAGAGAUAUAACAUAAUUAUCCAAAUUGACCGGA